CCUACGGGGUGCAGCAGUGGGGAAUAUUGGACAAUGGGCGAAAGCCUGAUCCAGCCAUGCCGCGUGUGUGAAGAAGGCCUUCGGGUUGUAAAGCACUUUCAGUGGGGAAGAAAGCCUUGGGGCUAAUACCCUCGAGGAAGGACAUCACCCACAGAAGAAGCACCGGCUAACUCCGUGCCAGCAGCCGCGGUAAUACGGAGGAUGCGAGCGUUAAUCGGAAUUACUGGGCGUAAAGCGCGCGUAGGCGGUCUGAUAAGCCGGUUGUGAAAGCCCCGGGCUCAACCUGGGAACGGCAUCCGGAACUGUCAGGCUAGAGUGCAGGAGAGGAAGGUAGAAUUCCCGGUGUAGCGGUGAAAUGCGUAGAGAUCGGGAGGAAUACCAGUGGCGAAGGCGGCCUUCUGGACUGACACUGACGCUGAGGUGCGAAAGCGUGGGUAGCAAACAGGAUUAGAUACCCGAGUAGUC
rnacentral:rRNA from 1 species